rnacentral:tRNA from 1 species
GGCAAGGUGGCCGAGUGGUUAUGGCGUUGGUUUUAGGUUCUAAAUCACCAAUGAGAGAUCGCGCGGGUUCGAAUCCCGUCCUUGUCA